rnacentral:rRNA from 1 species
AACGAACGCUGGCGGCAGGCUUAACACAUGCAAGUCGAACGAGCUGGGACCUUCGGGUCCCGAUGCUAGUGGCGCACGGGUGAGUAACACGUGGGAAUAUGCCCUUUAGUACGGAAUAACUGAGGGAAACUUCAGCUAAUACCGUAUACGCCCUUCGGGGGAAAGAUUUAUCGCUAAAGGAUUAGCCCGCGUCUGAUUAGGUAGUUGGUGAGGUAAUGGCUCACCAAGCCGACGAUCAGUAGCUGGUCUGAGAGGAUGAUCAGCCACACUGGGACUGAUACACGGCCCAGACUCCUACGGGAGGCAGCAGUGGGGAAUAUUGGACAAUGGGGGCAACCCUGAUCCAGCCAUGCCGCGUGAGUGAAGAAGGCCUUCGGGUUGUAAAGCUCUUUCGACGGCGACGAUGAUGACGGUACCCGUAUAAGAAGCCCCGGCAAACUUCGUGCCAGCAGCCGCCGUAA